UUGACCUCAAAUCGGGUGAGACUACCCGCUGAACUUAAGCAUAUCAAUAAGCGGAGGAAAAGAAACUAACAAGGAUUCCCCUAGUAACUGCGAGUGAAGCGGGAAAAGCUCAAAUUUAAAAUCUGGUGGUCUUUGGCCAUCCGAGUUGUAAUUUAGAGAAGCGUCUUCCGCGCUGGACCAUGCACAAGUCUCCUGGAAUGGAGCGUCAUAGAGGGUGAGAAUCCCGUCUUUGGCAUGGACCCCAGGGCUUCUGUGAUGCGCUCUCAAAGAGUCGAGUUGUUUGGGAAUGCAGCUCAAAAUGGGUGGUGAACUCCAUCUAAAGCUAAAUAUUGGCGAGAGACCGAUAGCGAACAAGUACCGUGAGGGAAAGAUGAAAAGCACUUUGGAAAGAGAGUGAAACAGUACGUGAAAUUGUUGAAAGGGAAACGCUUGAAGUCAGUCGCGUCGACCGAGACUCAGCCUUGCCUCGGCUUGGUGUACUUCUCGGCUGACGGGUCAGCAUCAAUUUCGAUCCUUGGAUAAUGGCAAGGGAAAGGUAGCACCUUUACAGGUGUGUUAUAGUCCUCUGUCGAAUGCAAGGGUUGGGAUUGAGGAACUCAGCAUGCGCCUUGUCGGUGUCGGGGCCUUUUGGCCUACGUACGUGCUUAGGAUGCUGGCAUAAUGGCUUUAAACGACCCGUC
rnacentral:rRNA from 2 species